UUAAAGAGGUACGUGAGCUGGGUUCAAAACGUCGUGAGACAGUUUGGUCCCUAUCUUCCGUGGGCGCUGCAGAUUUGAGAAAGCCUGCUCCUAGUACGAGAGGACCGGAGUGGACGCACCCCUGGUGUACCUGUUGUCACGCCCGUGGCAUCGCAGGGUAGCUAAGUGCGGAAGAGAUAACCGCUGAAAGCAUCUAAGCGGGAAACUCGUUUCAAGAUGAGAUCUGCCGGGGCCUUGAGCCCCCUCAAGAGUCGUUCUAGACCAGGACGUUGAUAGGCUGGGUGUGCAAGGGCAGCAAUGCUCUGAGCUAACCAGUACUAAUUGCUCGUGCGGCUUGACCCU
rnacentral:rRNA from 1 species